CGUCUUCUACUAAUCGGCCGAUGUCCCCUUGAAGGAGGGAUCGGAUGCUGGAAAGUUUGGCUCGGACGUCAUCAGGAACGGAACUCAAGGCGACUUGGCGAGAAGCAACUUCUUCGUCGUCAGAGAGGGCGACCGCAAAAGAAAAGAGGCUGUUGUCGGGGGUAUCCUGUUCCUGAAGAUAAUAAAGAAAAGAAAUAAACCAGCUGUAAGUAAGAGCAAAUCGGCUAAGAUAGAAGCCGAAACAGAAAAUUACCGUUUUGAAGCGAAUCUCCUCAUGUUGCACUUGAGAAGCCGCUAUGCCUUGCUCG
rnacentral:lncRNA from 1 species